AUGACUUUCAUCCCCGUCUUCAUCUGGACACUGAUCCUCUGGACUCAAGAAUGCAGAGGUCAAGUCACAGUAACUCAGACUCCUGCAGUGAAAUCUGCUCUUCCAGGAGAAACAGUCACCAUCAACUGUAGAACCAGUCAGGCAGUGUUUAGUAGUAACUACUUACACUGGUAUCAGCAGAAACCUGGAGAAGCUCCUAAACUCCUGAUUAAGUUCGCAAAUCAGCGAGAGUCAGGUAUUCCAGCUCGUUUCAGUGGCAGUGGAUCUGGAUCAGAUUUCACUCUGACCAUCAGUGGAGUCCAGACUGAAGAUGCAGGAGAUUACUACUGUCAGAGUGUACACAGUGGUAAUGUGCUCACACAGUGAUAUAGAGUCGUACAAAAACCUCCCUCAGUCAGAUUGUAGAGAGACUGAACUGCUGCAGCUGGGAGAGACUGCAGGUGCUGAGUUGGAGGAUGUGAUAUGACACAAUGACACUCUGUGGAGGAGAGGAACCAAAACAUAUACAAUAUCCAUUACUUAAGCAUUCACACUCUUUGCAUUUUUCAAUAUUUUGUAGUGUUGCAACGUGGAACUGAAAUGCACAAAAUGCACUGAGAUUAAAUCUCAUUAAGCAACACAAAACAUCCCAUAAUAGUGAAGACUGGGGAAAAUGAAUAGUUUGCAAAAAGUAUUCAUGAAACAACAUUUUAAAUGCUUUGAUUGUAUAAAUUUUCACCCUUGUUUGUGGCUUAAUUCUGAUAUAUUUGUUUUAUUGUAGUCAGAGCUGAGUACAAACUACAAAGUGCUCACAUGGAACAUCUCAUCAACCCCAUAACCUUUAAUAACAAAGCUUAGUCUAUAUCUGUUUCUUAUCACACAUGAUGACAUCAGUCUGACUCCUCAUGUCGAAACACUCCACCUAUUUUUAUUUUGUGGAAACUCUGAGCCUUUUCUAG